AAAAGAGACGCUGGAGUCUGGGAGAUGACUGCUGUCCUUCAUGACUGAUCGGAAGAGAUGGUUCGAACUUCCUCCUUCGUUCUCUGCCUUCUGGUCCUGCUCUUCGUCCACGAAGCUUCCUUUUCAACUCAUUUUGGAUUCGGGGUUCAGCUGGCUGAUGUCGCCACCCGGAGAGGACGGCUGCUGAGUCCAAUUGUUUUUCUGCAAGAAGAAAGAGAAAUCAUUGCAAAUGAACAAAAGUGAAACAAGAGACCGCGGCCGUCACUCACGUGGACGCUGCUGCUUUCACGAAGAACUUCAACAAGCCAGUCUGCCACGUCCUCCUUGAAAAGAAAGAAAAACGGAGAGAAAAUCCUGACAGAAAUCGACUGCAAGGGUCGGAGCACUGAUCGUCUCUGUGAGUCCGGGUUUGGUUUGCUAGGAUUCGCCA